AUGAACAAAACUUUAUGAGUUUGAUCUCUUUUGUCUGAAACUGAUUAGACAUGGUCAAACCAAAAGCUCCUUUUUAAUCAAAUUUUGUGAGCCCAUAGAUGUUAAUAUUGCCUCCUGCGCCACGCCUUUUAGCACUAACCAUAAAGACAGAAAAGCUUAUGAUGUUCCAUCAUAAUUUAUAUUCCCAUUGUUUGUCAUCAACCACAAUCAUUUUCAAUUUUCCUUGUGACCUCUUUUUACCAGACAAUUUUCAGAGAAGAUUAAACUACAAGCAUUUGAAAUAGAAUAGUUUUAUGUUUCCCACAAACAUCUACUAUUAUUAUUAUUUUUACAAAACCUGUAAUUUGAAAACUAGUUUACAGUUUGUGAAAAUAACCGAAACCCAGUAAACAACUACUCAUGGCAUUUUACCCAAACUAAUUUGAAAGUACCGGUUAAAGUCAAGUUUAUUUUGCUCCACUUAAUCAUGCUUCCUCAGAUCCGGUUAAUCUUUUCAAAUAAAAAUGAAUCAAACGCAAGUUUUGUAGUUGUGUAUCUAUACUAUUAAGAGUUUUUCUUCUGUUUGAACCCAUGAGUUAACCACUAAAAUGAUACUAACAAAAUAAAAAUUCACAAGUCGUGUUCUGUUUAUGAAAAAAAUAAAAAUAAUUAGAAAACUAAAAUUAAUUACCAAAAAAUUAAAAAAAAAACCUUUGACAUUGCUCUAAACUCAAACUCU
rnacentral:lncRNA from 1 species